CUCUCUGGAUCUUCUUCUUCUUCAAAAGUCUUUCUCCCCUUCAGGUUCCUCCUCCUCAGCUUCUCCUCAAGGUCCUGAAAUGGUUAUUCAAUAACUAAUGAGACCAUGUCUCAGCGAAUUCUACCCCCUAAGACUCGAUUAGUAAACCAAUACACUACUCGGUUGCCUAAGCACAGCAUGAGUCAAAGGACUUACCUUGGCCUUAGAUUCCAUCUGCAUAUUAGUACAGUUCGAUAGGUACUCAAACAAUCACAUCACUGAUCGAAGUAUCGAUCAAAUCGACCUAGUCGAUUUCAUGUCAGUCGGACCAUUUCUAGGUCAUUCAUCCAACACCAAGCAACUUUCUUAUAUUUAGUAGCUUUACGGUCCCACCUGACCCUUUCGGGAUGUAGUGGCUUUAUGGUCCCACUCGACCCUUUCAAGACCUAGUGGCUUUACGGUCCCACCCGACCCUUUCAAGAUUUAGUGGCUUUACGGUCCUACCCAACCCUUUCAAGAUCUAAUUUAGGAAUGAAUCUUAAAAUCACUCAUGAAUUACUUUAGCACCAAAUAAAGGUCAAAUAAAUAAAUGGACUGCACCACGACAAUCAGCACGAAAUUCCGGUCACCGGCCAUCCCGGUUGAAUUUCCGGAAAAAUAAAUAAUUAAAUAAUUAAUUUCGAAAAUUAAAUAAAUAAUUAUAAAAAAUUCAAUUUAGGCCCGUCAUACCGAAUUGGAAGCCGAGACGAGCCCGGAAAAUUACCGAGACUCGUUCCAUAAAUAACAUGGUAUGCCUACUUGCUAAUGUCUAUUUCUAACCACCUAACAUGCAUCAUUAAGUCUCUAAUUUAAUUAAUCUAAACUAAUAUAACCACCUAAUUGCAUUUAAUUAAAUCUAACCAACCCCUAAGCAUAAUUAACAAAUUAAGAAAGCAUUAGUGAGUAAAAUUCACUUGGUAAAAGCGGAGACUAAAUCACCGCAACGGCGACGUGACGGCGACCGAAAUCGGGCUUUCGACAACAUUGGCGGGCUUGGACCGGGCCUUAAGCUUGGCCCAACAAAUCUCAGCCCAACUGAGAUUUAUUCUUGCACUGGAUUGGGCUUCACUUGACUGAAUGGGCCUUGAAUGGGCUGUCCUCGCGGGCUGAACUUGCUGAAUUGGGCCCAAUGGAAUUAAUGGAGAGAUGGGCUGAGCUGGGCCGGCUUCUUGGGCUGACCUGAAGGAAGUUGGGCCAAAACUGAAAUGCAGGAGCAAAUGGGCUAAAUACACGGCCCAAAGAAGCUGUUGGCCGUGGGCUGCUGGAAUUGUCGAGCUGGGCCAGAGACACGUGCGGACAGCUUUGUCCGAAUUGCAGGAGCUGCUGUCUUUGUUGCUGGGUGGCUUCGACUUUGCUGGAAUUCACGGGCCAAAGUUGUUGGCUCGAGAAUUUCAAUCGAGGCAGCGUUGGCGAGAUGAAGACAACGCUACUGAAGGACUUCUCUCGGUUGGAAUUCUGCAGGACUUUGCUUCGUGGCAGCUGUUUCGUGGAGCCUAACCAAAGACGAUGGGGGCAGUCAACGAGCCAAGUCCUCCGCUGGAAGGUUGACCGGAGCUGAGGGGAAACUGACGAGUGGCAACCUGCAGGAGCUUCGGUGGAUCGUGGCCUCGCUUCGGUGGUGUCUUCGCUGGACGCAUGAAGCGGUGAGGAGCUUCAGUCAACAAACGGCAAGCUGGGUCUUGCGGCCUUGACUGAACACGUGGGGCUUCUUCUUCCGUGGGCGUUUAGACGUGAGAAGGGCUGCAACAAACGAUGUGAGCUCCGCUCGGUCUUCUUCUAUGCCUUUC
rnacentral:lncRNA from 1 species